rnacentral:lncRNA from 1 species
CCGCAUUUUUUUGCUGGCAAUGCGGGCCGGCCUGCGGGCAUGGCCCGUUUUGCCAUUACUAACUGCGGACUUAGUAGAAGAAGCUCUCAAGUCUCAUUAUUCAGGUGUGCCUAACAAGAGUUUAAUGCAUCAAUGGAACAUUAUUUGGAGAAUGCGAAAUGACGUAAUUUUUGGAGAAGACAAAAUAAGCUUCACUCAUCUACUUCAUAAUGUGAAGUUGAAAUCAUGGUUGUGGUUCUCAAGUCGUCAUCAAAAGAAGACCCCUUUAACUGUUAACACCUGCUGUUUAUCACAUAAAUCCUGUAUUUUUUCCGAUUAUAAUUUUUAACUCAUUUCGAAUCUUUUAAUAAAAUUUAUUUUCUUAUCAAAAAAAGUAAUCAAAGAAAAUGCAUUAAAAGAGUAUAAGGGGUCCUAACCAACAACACAAAACAACUUAACAUAGGAUAUUUCAAUACAGAACAUGACACGCGUCCCAACAAACAAACACUACAUAAUUAUUUCCUACAUCAGAAGAAGAAAACCACAGCAAGGACCUAAAGCUUAAUUAAUUUCAUAAUUGUAAAAAAACUCUACUCUCUAGUAUUGAAAAGCAAAUUGUUUGUCAUCAACAAAAGAGACUACAUUGUACACACGAAAGCAUGCACCACAACUGAACCCCUUUUUUCUUCUUCUUCCAAAAAUUAAGAUGCAAUUUAAACAAAUCACAAAAUUUGCUCUAAAGCACAGUCUAAGUUGCCAAACCUUGUUGAGCAACAAAUCCAUAGCAGUUGCAAUUCAGAAUUAUGGGCUAACUUCUCAAACGGUUAACUGCGAAUAAAUGAGCAUUUAAGUCUUCUAUCAACACAAACAGCUUUCAAAAAUUCUGUUUAAAUUAGUACUAACCAAAAUACCCAAAUAAAACGUUAAAGAGCCAAUAUUACAAGAGAAUAAAGUCUCUCUUGUUCCGGUCAAUAUGAGAUUUUUUAUCUCUUUGUGCCCAAUUAAAGAGAGACACAUGUAUAAACUAUUUUUAUCCUUUAUUUUUCUCUCUCC